rnacentral:tmRNA from 1 species
AAAAAUUUAGUUGCAAAUAACGACAACUACGCUUUAGCAGCUUAAUGCUAACCGAUGCCAGAAUUGACUAUGGUUUGAAGCAUCGGCAAAUAUCAUAGUCUAGCCAAGCUGUGUUGCUUGGACACAGUUUGGUUAAAUUAAUCAAGCUCGCUUUUACACCCUGCUCCUCGGGUCGUAANAGUCAAAAAGCCAAUUGAGUGAGCUAUGCAUGUAGAAGUUAGGCUGAAGGAUUGNCGGACGCGGGUUCAAUUCCCGCCGCCUCCACCA